GAAAGACCCCGUGGAGCUUUACUGCAACCUGAUAUGGAAUGUUUGUACCGCUUGUACAGGAUAGGUAGGAGCCGAAGAGACGUGUGCGCUAGCAUACGAGGAGGCAAUGGUGGGAUACUACCCUGGCUGUAUGACCAUUCUAACCCGCCACGCUUAGCGCGUGGGGAGACAGUGUCAGGUGGGCAGUUUGACUGGGGCGGUCGCCUCCUAAAGAGUAACGGAGGCGCCCAAAGGUUCCCUCAGAAUGGAUGGAAAUCAUUCGCAGAGUGUAAAGGCACAAGGGAGCUUGACUGCGAGACUGACAAGUCGAGCAGGGACGAAAGUCGGGCUUAGUGAUCCGGUGGUUCCGCAUGGAAGGGCCAUCGCUCAACGGAUAAAAGCUACCCCGGGGAUAACAGGCUUAUCUCCCCCAAGAGUCCACAUCGACGGGGAGG
rnacentral:rRNA from 1 species